AUAUUAUAAAAACAAAUAAAGAAAGAAACAGAAUAGAAAACCAAACGAAAAAGAAAGAAAAAGAAAAAGAGAAAGACGAAAGGAAGCCACAGCGUUAGGGAUUUCUUGGGUUCAAAGUUUAAUUGGUUAUCGAAAGCUCGAAUGGGUUGGAAGCUUAUCGGAGCUAUAUCACACUAUCCAUUGGUUUUAUUGGUAAUUAUAGGUGACUAGAUUCUGGUUAUAAUGGCAUGUAUAGGUUAUUUUGACUAAAGGUUAGUCUAUAGAUGUUUUAUUAAAAUUAGUCAUGUAUUUGGCUUAUGUUUGGUAUUGUGGUGUUUACAUAAUUGCCUUAAAAUGUUGAUAUGAUUGAAUGAUGAGAGGUAAAGUAGUAGUCGAAUAAACAUAAAA